rnacentral:rRNA from 1 species
CAUGCAGUCGAACGAUGACUUUUGUGCUUGCACAGAAUGAUUAGUGGCGAACGGGUGAGUAACACGUGAGUAACCUGCCCCUGACUCUGGGAUAAGCCUGGGAAACUGGGUCUAAUACUGGAUAUGCACCGUAGACCGCAUGGUUUUUGGUGGAAAGAAUUUUGGUCAGGGAUGGACUCGCGGCCUAUCAGCUUGUUGGUGAGGUAAUGGCUCACCAAGGCGACGACGGGUAGCCGGCCUGAGAGGGUGACCGGCCACACUGGGACUGAGACACGGCCCAGACUCCUACGGGAGGCAGCAGUGGGGAAUAUUGCACAAUGGGCGAAAGCCUGAUGCAGCGACGCCGCGUGAGGGAUGACGGCCUUCGGGUUGUAAACCUCUUUCAGUAGGGAAGAAGCGAAAGUGACGGUACCUGCAGAAGAAGCGCCGGCUAACUACGUGCCAGCAGCCGCGGUAAUACGUAGGGCGCAAGCGUUAUCCGGAAUUAUUGGGCGUAAAGAGCUCGUAGGCGGUUUGUCGCGUCUGCCGUGAAAGUCCGAGGCUCAACUUCGGAUCUGCGGUGGGUACGGGCAGACUAGAGUGAUGUAGGGGAGACUGGAAUUCCUGGUGUAGCGGUGAAAUGCGCAGAUAUCAGGAGGAACACCGAUGGCGAAGGCAGGUCUCUGGGCAUCUACUGACGCUGAGGAGCGAAAGCAUGGGGAGCGAACAGGAUUAGAUACCCUGGUAGUCCAUGCCGUAAACGUUGGGCACUAGGUGUGGGGGACAUUCCACGUUUUCCGCGCCGUAGCUAACGCAUUAAGUGCCCCGCCUGG